GUGACUAUAGCUCAGUUGGUAGAGCACUGGAUUGUGGCUCCAGUGGUCGUGGGUUCAAAUCCCAUUAGUCACC
rnacentral:tRNA from 1 species